GUAAUGGCAGGUCAGCAUACUGCCGUGAAUACGUUCCCGGGCCUUGUACACACCGCCCGUCACACCAUGAGAGUUGGGAAUACCCGAAGCCUGUGAGCUAACUUUUAGAGGCAGCAGUCGAAGGUAGAAUCAAUGAUUGGGGUGAAGUCGUAACAAGGUAAC
rnacentral:rRNA from 1 species